rnacentral:rRNA from 1 species
UACGUAGGGGGCUAGCGUUGUCCGGAUUUAUUGGGCGUAAAGAGCUCGUAGGUGGUUCGGUAAGUCGGAUGUGAAAUCUCCAGGCUCAACCUGGAGGGGUCAUUCGAUACUGCCGUGACUAGAGUUCGGUAGAGGAGUGUAGAAUUCCUGGUGGAGCGGUGAAAUGCGCAGAUAUCAGGAAGAACACCGAUGGCGAAAGCAGCUCUCUGGGACGGUACUGACGCUGAGGCGCGAAAGCGUGGGGAGCGAACAGG